UGAAAACGUAACGAUCAUUAACAGAGUUUCAGAAUAAUACCAUCGGGAAAGUUUUACGUAGAAGUAAGCGGCACAUGCUUACUUCUAUUUGCUUCACAAACUGGUUUUGCUCAAAGCCAGCUUAUCAGUCGUGAAAAAAAUGUCUGUGAAAUUGCCCUGACUGCGUAACCACAUGAGACACGACCGACCAAAAUUACCGAAGUGCGAGUAGCCUAAGCGGAAAACCUAGACUACAUUAUCUGCUAGACAAUAAGCAUCUGCACCAGCAAAGCACGUAACGCAAUCAAACCAAUGCAUAUUGUGUUUUAGCUAAUAACAAUAAAAAGAAAAGUCGAAAUUUUACUUAUUUCGAAAGGCAAAGAUGAAAGCGUCAAUACGUACCUGAUACCGUGCCCCCAAACAAUGUCCAAAACAGUGAAAAGCUAUAAAUGCAAAACAUUUUACAAAACCACUUAGAAAGACUAUAUCCAUCCUGGUCCAUUAGUUAUCAAUGAAUAGCCAUGUGAAAUAUUUACACCACGCUGUUACAGCGAGAGUAGGAGCUAUAGACUGGUUAGAG